rnacentral:rRNA from 1 species
CCUACGGGGGGCAGCAGUAAGGAAUAUUGGUCAAUGGAGGAAACUCUGAACCAGCCAUCCCGCGUGAAGGAUGAAGGGGCUCUGCCUUGUAAACUUCUUUUGUCUGGGGCGAAAAAGCUCGAUUUAUCGAGAACUGACGGUACCAGUAGAAUAAGCACCGGCUAACUCCGUGCCAGCAGCCGCGGUAAUACGGAGGUUGCAAGCGUUAUCCGGAAUCACUGGUUUUAAGGGGUCUGAGGACGUCAGUGGUGAAAGGCUGUGGCUUAACCAUGGACUUGCCAUUGAUACUGCAGGGCUUGAAUGAGGUUGAGGUUGGCGGAAUGUGACAUGUAGCGGUGAAAUGCUUAGAUAUGUCAUGGAACACCGAUUGCGAAGGCAGCUGACUGGACCUAUAUUGACGCUGAGGCACGAAAGCGUGGGGAGCGAACAGGAUUAGAUACCCUAGUAGUC